rnacentral:rRNA from 1 species
CAAGCGUUAUCCGGAUUUAUGGGUUUAAAGGUGCGUAGGCGGACCUGUAAGUCAGUGGUGAAAUCCUGCAGCUUAACUGUAGAACUGCCAUUGAUACUGUUGGUCUUGAGUACAGUUGAGGUAGGCGGAAUGAGUAGUGUAGCGGUGAAAUGCUUAGAUAUUACUCAGAACACCGAUUGCGAAGGCAGCUUACUAAACUGUCACUGACGCUGAUGCACGAAAGCGUGGGGAGC